rnacentral:rRNA from 1 species
UACGAAGGGGGCUAGCGUUGCUCGGAAUCACUGGGCGUAAAGCGCACGUAGGCGGCUUUUUAAGUCAGAGGUGAAAUCCUGGAGCUCAACUCCAGAACUGCCUUUGAUACUGGAGAGCUUGAGUCCGGGAGAGGUGAGUGGAACUGCGAGUGUAGAGGUGAAAUUCGUAGAUAUUCGCAAGAACACCAGUGGCGAAGGCGGCUCACUGGCCCGAUACUGACGCUGAGGCACGAAAGCGUGGGGAGCGAACCGG